rnacentral:misc_RNA from 1 species
AAGUCGUAACAAGGUCUCCGUAGGUGAACCUGCGGAAGGAUCAUUACUGGGUUUUUGGGCUCUGCCCGCCACCCGCCCUCUGUUAUUUAGUGACUGUUGUUUCGGCCAGCGGGGCGACCCGCGGCCGGCAGUAACCCUGAAGCAUCUUGAAGUCUGAUAUUUUGUCAAUGAAAAAAAACUUUCAACAACGGAUCUCUUGGUUCUG